rnacentral:rRNA from 1 species
UACGUAGGGGGCUAGCGUUGUCCGGAAUCAUUGGGCGUAAAGCGCGCGUAGGCGGCCCGGUAAGUCCGCUGUGAAAGUCAAAGGCUCAACCUUUGAAUGUCAGCGGAUACUGCCGGGCUAGAGUCCGGAAGAGGCGAGUGGAAUUCCUGGUGUAGCGGUGAAAUGCGCAGAUAUCAGGAAGAACACCCGUGGCGAAGGCGGCUCUCUGGGACGGUACUGACGCUGAGACGCGAAAGCGUGGGGAGCGAACAGG